rnacentral:rRNA from 1 species
AAUGAACGUUGGCGGCGUGGAUUAGGCAUGCAAGUCGCGCGGAAAGGCACCGCAAGGGGCGCUCGAGCGGCGAAAGGGAUAGUAACACGUGGAUUACCUACCUCCAGGAAGGGGAUAGCUGCGGGAAACUGCAAUUAAUACCCGAUGACGUCGUCGGACCAAAGGGGUGAUUGCGCCGGGAGACGGGUCCGCGUCCUAUUAGCUAGUUGGCAGGGUAACGGCCUACCAAGGCUCAGAUGGGUAGCGGGGUGGAGACCACGACCCGCAUCACUGGGACUGAGACACUUCCCAGACACCUACGGGUGGCUGCAGUCGCGGAUCUUCGGCAAUGGGCGAAAGCCUGACCGAGCGACGCCGCGUGCGGGAUGAAGGCCUUCGCGUUGUAAACCGCUGUCAGUGGGGAGGAAAUACUGGUGGGAACACCCUCCAGUUUGACCUAUCCGCAGAGGAAGGACGGGCUAAGUUCGUGCCAGCAGCCGCUGUAAAAC